GAUGAACGCUGGCGGCGUGCCUAAUACAUGCAAGUCGAGCGAACAGACGAGGAGCUUGCUCCUCUGACGUUAGCGGCGGACGGGUGAGUAACACGUGGAUAACCUACCUAUAAGACUGGGAUAACUUCGGGAAACCGGAGCUAAUACCGGAUAACAUGUUGAACCGCAUGGUUCAACAGUGAAAGACGGUUUUGCUGUCACUUAUAGAUGGAUCCGCGCCGCAUUAGCUAGUUGGUAAGGUAACGGCUUACCAAGACAACGAUGCGUAGCCGACCUGAGAGGGUGAUCGGCCACACUGGAACUGAGACACGGUCCAGACUCCUACGGGAGGCAGCAGUAGGGAAUCUUCCGCAAUGGGCGAAAGCCUGACGGAGCAACGCCGCGUGAGUGAAGAAGGUCUUCGGAUCGUAAAACUCUGUUAUUAGGGAAGAACAAAUGUGUAAGUAACUAUGCACGUCUUGACGGUACCUAAUCAGAAAGCCACGGCUAACUACGUG
rnacentral:rRNA from 1 species